rnacentral:rRNA from 1 species
AGAUUGAACGCUGGCGGCAUGCCUUACACAUGCAAGUCGGACGGCAGCACGGGAGCAAUCCUGGUGGCGAGUGGCGAACGGGUGAGUAAUACAUCGGAACGUGCCCAAUCGUGGGGGAUAACGCAGCGAAAGCUGUGCUAAUACCGCAUACGAUCUACGGAUGAAAGCAGGGGAUCGCAAGACCUUGCGCGAAUGGAGUGGCCGAUGGCAGAUUAGGUAGUUGGUGAGGUAAAGGCUCACCAAGCCUUCGAUCUGUAGCUGGUCUGAGAGGACGACCAGCCACACUGGGACUGAGACACGGCCCAGACUCCUACGGGAGGCAGCAGUGGGGAAUUUUGGACAAUGGGCGAAAGCCUGAUCCAGCCAUGCCGCGUGCAGGAUGAAGGCCUUGGUUGUAAACUGCUUUGUACGGACGAAAGUCUCUUUCUAAUAAGAGGAUCAUGACGGUACCGUAAGAAUAAGCACCGGCUAACUACGUACG